rnacentral:tRNA from 1 species
GAGAGAUGGUCGAGUGGACUAAGGCGCCACAUUGGAAAUGUGGUGUGUCGCAAGGCACCGAGGGUUCGAAUCCCUCUCUCUCC